rnacentral:misc_RNA from 1 species
GCGUCGCCGCCCUCGCGUCGAUAACGGCUUGGCAACCGCCCAGUCACACAUACGCGCCGCUGUGGAGCAGUGUUGCUGCGGCUCCCUUGCGUACUGCAACGCCGCUCGUUAUUUUCUGGCACUAAACUACACCGGGUAUGCAUGACCGUUGAUACGGGUCUAUAGUUUAAUAGACCAGUGUAGUAGUUCCCAUCGCUGCAAUGAGCUGUUGUAGACCUUCAUUAUCAGCUUGUGUAGCACCUCAACGGCUUCCUUUAACAUCAACGAUAAUGGAGACUCCUCAAGAGGAGGAUUUCCAGCUGUUUGAAGCGAUUACGUUAAAUGGGGAGAGACACACGUUGCUGAAGUGCCCUCGGAGGUUGCCCUCACGACUGGCUCCACGUGACGGCUCCUUCACCAGUACUGAUGUCUUCAACAUCCUUAUGGCUGAUGUCUCUGGCUCUAUGAGUGGCUACUGGCCACAUGUUGUUACUGGCUGGCAGGAGAGCAUAAAAGACAAGCUCUCAGGGCAUACGAAGAUUUUUGUGUUCGAGUCAAAUGUUACAUUUGUACGUGACGGCACAGACCUAACUGAAGAAGAUUUCAUAUGUGGUGGGACAGAUCUUACUUCAGCCUUGCGAACUGUUCGUGAAGAAGUGGAUAAGUGUACAGAACAGUAUGUGCGGAUCUUUAUUGUAACAGAUGGUGCUCAUGGUGAGGGUGAGCCAUACCCUGAAACUGAAAUUAAUCAGAUGAAGGCACCACAAGGCAAGACUGUUGAUGUUUUUCUACUUGGUAUUGGAUGUUCUUUUCCAGUCAAUUACAGCAUUGAUAUUAGAUCUUUUAUGCACAAUGGAAGUGCUAAUUUGCCUACACUGUUUUGGGCUAAAGAUGAAGAAGAAAUUGAAGAACAGAUGAUGGCUAUUGGUGAAGGACUGAGCUCUGGACUAGUAACACUUAGUCUGAGCCACAAUGGUUAUAAACUCCCUGGUUUAGAUAAAGCUACCACCAUUCAUCUUGGUGAGUGGAGCUAUUUCCCUGAAUCUCCUGAGGAUCUUCCUGUUUUAACAGUUAAGGUUGAUGAAGAAAAUCCAAAACUAAUAUGCUCGAAAGUCGAGAAAAUAUCAAUGACCCUGUUGCUUAACGAAAUAUUUCGGCAAUGGAAUUCAGUUUUGAUUCAGCAACAUCGGAAAAAACUGUUUGUCCCAAGUGAAACCUUUGAUCUCAUGGAUUCGUUAUUUAAGAACCUUAUGAAUGAAAUAAACUCUGAAAUUAUUGAUGAAGGAAAUGGUGUAAAGCUAAGAUUGAAAAAGAAGAUGGCUAAGAACUAUGAAGUAGAGUAUGCAACCCUCAUGAAUAUGAGUAAGACGGUGAUUGGUAUUGAAGGCAAAUAUAGAGAUGAAAUGGAACUUGCUGAAAAUAUUCUAAAAAGCACCGUCACUACUAGAAAAUAUGAUACAAAAAAUUUAAAAAUGAAAGGUCAUGGGCAGGAGGACUAUGAUGCUGAUAUGAAGGCUUUCUGUCAGUUAUACCAGAAGGCAAAAAAACGUAUUUUGGAAUUACCAAAUCCUACACCUGAAGAAUGCUGUAGAAUCACAAUGUCGUCUACAUUACAAGAUAUGCAAGAUCCUGACUUUCAUCUAAUGUUUGAAGAGAAUAAGUUUGAUUUUCUAAAAUGUUUUACAAUGACGGGAAUUCCAGUGUAUGCCCCAGUUCGUGAUGCCUCGCAGAUUAAUCCAUGGACAUUGGGCAUAAAGCACAUUCUUGUAACACCAUUUACAAUACUCAGUCAGAGGGCUAUUGAAGCAUAUGCAGACAGUGGUGAUAAUCUUGGAGUAGAAAACAAAGAUGUUAUACUUCAAAAAGAUGAUGAAAAAUCUCGUUUCAAUGCUAUAAUUCCUGUUGUUCCUGCUCAUGCUGCUAGUGUACUGAAGCCACUUGUUCGCUCUAACUUAUAUGCCAUGUUAGCUACAUUUUGCAUUUUGAAAAAUCCCCACAUUGUUGACCAUAAUGCACACAUUGCUGCUCUAGGUUGUGCUUGGGUUAAAUCUGUUGUUCAGUAUCCCCCUAAAGAUCGCCCAGAAUAUAUCACUGAUAGACUUAAAAAUAUAAUUUCUACAGCUAGUUUAUAUAUGGAUCGAGCAAGAAUAGUUUGCUAUGUGAAUGCAUUAAAGAAUAAUCCACAGCAAGCCCUCAUGACAGAAAGCAUCGAUACAUUUGAUGACCAUACUCUGAAGUGUGAAUCACUCAUUAAACCUCUGUUUUUCCUUUAUCUGGAAAAGGAAAAAUUUACGAAACUUGAGCUGGAAAAUAUUCUGAUACUAUUAUUAGCAGAAUUCAUUGGACGUUGCCUCUCAAAUUACUUGCCCACAGAGAAUGAUGAUAAAGGCACGACUACACCUUUCACCGAUUUCUUUGCUGAAGACCUUAAUGACCCAGAGAAGAAAAAAUCAUUGCUUGAAAAGCACUGUCAGGCUGUAAUUGAUGAAUUUCAGUUGGCUCAUGGAAACCUUGUAGAUAAAUUUUUCACUCUUGAUGAUUUGCAAGCCAGCAUAAAGCAGCAUGUUGUUAAACGGGUGGCUGCUUUAGCCGAUACUUUAAUGGAAGACAUAACCAUAAAGGUUAACAUGGAAAAGGUAAAGAAGCUCAAGAAUUUUGGGAGCUGUGGUGAUGUCAAAUUUACAUCAUUCCAUUCAUGGGCACAAGAAAUGGGAAUUGCUGAGGAAAGUAUUCAAAAAGCUACCAAUCCAUCUCAGGUAAUAUAUUUUAAGGUAGUUUCAUCCUGUGAUGCUGAAUGUUGAAUCGCUCGUUUUGGCAAUAUCCCCACUUAACCCGGGGACAUUACAAGCUGACAUUGCAUGGGUUCUUGUGUAUGUAAGCGAGGCUCUUCAGUAUCCAAGCUCAAAGGAUCGGCGAUCAAGAGAUCUUGCCACUAGUGAAGAAGCCUUUAUAAUUGUCAAAGAAAAAGUGACUCGAGAAAAUG